GACGAACGCUGGCGGCGUGCUUAACACAUGCAAGUCGAACGGAAAGGCCCUGCUUUUGUGGGGUGCUCGAGUGGCGAACGGGUGAGUAACACGUGAGUAACCUGCCCUUGACUUUGGGAUAACUUCAGGAAACUGGGGCUAAUACCGGAUAGGAGCUCCUGCUGCAUGGUGGGGGUUGGAAAGUUUCGGCGGUUGGGGAUGGACUCGCGGCUUAUCAGCUUGUUGGUGGGGUAGUGGCUUACCAAGGCUUUGACGGGUAGCCGGCCUGAGAGGGUGACCGGCCACAUUGGGACUGAGAUACGGCCCAGACUCCUACGGGAGGCAGCAGUGGGGAAUAUGGCACAAUGGGCGGAAGCCUGAUGCAGCAACGCCGCGUGCGGGAUGACGGCCUUCGGGUUGUAAACCGCUUUCGCCUGUGACGAAGCGUGAGUGACGGUAAUGGGUAAAGAAGCACCGGCGAACUACGG
rnacentral:rRNA from 1 species